rnacentral:rRNA from 1 species
UACGGGGGGGGCGAGCGUUAUUCGGAAUUAUUGGGCGUAAAGGGCGCGUAGGUGGCUUGGUAAGUCAAAGGUGAAAUCCCUCGGCUCAACUGAGGAAUUGCCUUUGAAACUGCCUGGCUUGAGGCCGGGAGGGGGUAGCGGAAUUCCCAGUGUAGCGGUGAAAUGCGUAGAUACUGGGAGGAACACCGGUGGCGAAGGCGGCUACCUGGACCGGUUCUGACACUGAGGCGCGAAAGCGUGGGGAGCAAACAGG